UACGUAGGGUGCAAGCGUUGUCCGGAAUUAUUGGGCGUAAAGAGCUCGUAGGCGGUUUGUCGCGUCUGCUGUGAAAACCUAAGGCUCAACCUUGGGCUUGCAGUGGGUACGGGCAGACUAGAGUGCGGUAGGGGUGACUGGAAUUCCUGGUGUAGCGGUGGAAUGCGCAGAUAUCAGGAGGAACACCGAUGGCGAAGGCACUCUACUGGGCCAUGACUGACACUAAGAGACGGAAAGCUAGGGGAGCAAAUGGG
rnacentral:rRNA from 1 species